rnacentral:rRNA from 1 species
CGGCGAGUGAAGCGGCACAAGCUCAAAUUUGAAAUCUGGCUCUUUCAGGGUCCGAGUUGUAAUUUGUAGAAGAUGCUUCGGGUGUGGCCCCGGUCUAAGUUCCUUGGAACAGGACGUCAUAGAGGGUGAGAAUCCCGUAUGUGACUGGGUGCCUACGCUCAUGUGAAGCUCUUUCGACGAGUCGAGUUGUUUGGGAAUGCAGCUCAAAAUGGGUGGUAUAUUUCAUCUAAAGCUAAAUAUUGGCCAGAGACCGAUAGCGCACAAGUAGAGUGAUCGAAAGAUGAAAAGCACUUUGGAAAGAGAGUUAAACAGUACGUGAAAUUGUUGAAAGGGAAGCGCUUGCAAUCAGACUUGCGCCUGGGUAAUCAUCCGGGGUUCUCUCCGGUGCACUUGCUCAGGCUCAGGCCAGCAUCGGUUUGGGUGGUUGGAUAAAGGCCUUGGGAAUGUGGCCCCCUUCGGGGGGUGUUAUAGCCCUCGGUGCCAUGCAGCCUACCUGGACCGAGGACCGCGCUUCGGCUAGGAUGCUGGCGUAAUGGUUGUAAGCGACCCGUCUUGAAACACGGACCAAGGAGUCUAACAUCUAUGCGAGUGUUUGGGUGUCAAACCCAUACGCGUAAUGAAAGUGAACGGAGGUGAGAACCCUUUAGGGCGCAUCAUCGACCGAUCCUGAUGUCUUCGGAUGGAUUUGAGUAAGAGCAUAGCUGUUGGGACCCGAAAGAUGGUGAACUAUGCGUGAAUAGGGUGAAGCCAGAGGAAACUCUGGUGGAGGCUCGCAGCGGUUCUGACGUGCAAAUCGAUCGUCAAAUUUGCGUAUAGGGGCGAAAGACU